rnacentral:tRNA from 1 species
GCCCAGUUAGUAUGGCGAUUAUGACUCUCGGCUUGUAAUCGAGUGGGCUCGGGUUCGAAUCCCGAAUAAGGCU